rnacentral:rRNA from 1 species
CCUACGGGUGGCUGCAGUGGGGAAUAUUGGACAAUGGGGGCAACCCUGAUCCAGCCAUGCCGCGUGUGUGAAGAAGGCCCUCGGGUUGUAAAGCACUUUCAGUGAGGAAGAACGCCUGGUGGUUAAUACCCAUCAGGAAAGACAUCACUCACAGAAGAAGCACCGGCUAACUCCGUGCCAGCAGCCGCGGUAAUACGGAGGGUGCGAGCGUUAAUCGGAAUUACUGGGCGUAAAGCGCGCGUAGGUGGCUUGAUAAGCCGGUUGUGAAAGCCCCGGGCUCAACCUGGGAACGGCAUCCGGAACUGGCAAGCUAGAGUGCAGGAGAGGAAGGUAGAAUUCCCGGUGUAGCGGUGAAAUGCGUAGAGAUCGGGAGGAAUACCAGUGGCGAAGGCGGCCUUCUGGACUGACACUGACACUGAGGUGCGAAAGCGUGGGUAGCAAACAGGAUUAGAUACCCGAGUAGUC